CCUACGGGAGGCAGCAGUGGGGGAUAUUGCACAAUGGGGGAAACCCUGAUGCAGCGACGCCGCGUGGGUGAAGAAGCGCCUCGGCGCGUAAAGCCCUGUCAGCAGGGAAGAAAAUGACGGUACCUGAAGAAGAAGCCCCGGCUAACUACGUGCCAGCAGCCGCGGUAAUACGUAGGGGGCAAGCGUUAUCCGGAUUUACUGGGUGUAAAGGGGGCGCAGACGGCGAUGCAAGCCAGGAGGGAAAGCCCGGGGCCCAACCCCGGGACUGCUCUUGGAACUGCGUGGCUAGAGUGCAGGAGGGGCGGGCGGAAUGCGUGGUGUAGCGGGGAAAUGCGUAGAUAUCAGGAGGAACACCGGUGGCGAAGGCGGCCUGCUGGACUGCAACUGACGUUGAGGCCCGAAAGCGUGGGGAGCAAACAGGAUUAGAUACCCUGGUAGUC
rnacentral:rRNA from 1 species